rnacentral:rRNA from 1 species
AGUCACUGACAUUAGAUACCCGUGUAGUCCAGGGUGUAAACGCUGCGGGCUUGGUGUUGGGGGUCCUUAGUGGGCGCCCAGUGCCGGAGAGAAGUUGUUAAGCCUGCUGCUUGGGGAGUAUGUCCGCAAGGAUGAAACUUAAAGGAAUUGGGCGGGGGAGCACCGCAACGGGAGGAGCGUGCGGUUCAAUUGGAUUCAACGCCGAAAAACUCACCAGGAGCGACGGAUAUAUGAAGGUCAAGCUGAUGACUUUACCUGAUUUUCCG